rnacentral:tRNA from 1 species
UUAUUACUUUGGCAGAUUAGUGCAAUGAAUUUAGAAUUCAAGAAUAUAAUUUUUUAUUAUAUGUA